AGUGAACGCUGGCGGUAGGCCUAACACAUGCAAGUCGAACGGCAGCACAGUAAGAGCUUGCUCUUACGGGUGGCGAGUGGCGGACGGGUGAGGAAUACAUCGGAAUCUACUUUUUCGUGGGGGAUAACGUAGGGAAGCUUACGCUAAUACCGCAUACGACCUACGGGUGAAAGCAGUGGAUCUUCGCACCUUGCGCGAUUGAAUGAGCCGAUGUCGGAUUAGCUAGUUGGCGGGGUAAAGGCCCACCAAGGCGACGAUCCGUAGCUGGUCUGAGAGGAUGAUCAGCCACACUGGAACUGAGACACGGUCCAGACUCCUACGGGAGGCAGCAGUGGGGAAUAUUGGACAAUGGGCGCAAGCCUGAUCCAGCCAUACCGCGUGGGUGAAGAAGGCCUUCGGGUUGUAAAGCCCUUUUGUUGGGAAAGAAAAGCAGCAGGUUAAUACCCCGCUGUUCUGACGGUACCCAAAGAAUAAGCACCGGCUAACUUCGUG
rnacentral:rRNA from 1 species